rnacentral:rRNA from 1 species
UUUCGGAGAGUUUGAUUCUGGCUCAGAACGAACGCUGGCGGCGUGGAUAAGACAUGCAAGUCGAACGGGAUCAUUCCGGUUGGCAACAAUCGGGGUGAUUCAGUGGCGAACGGGUGCGUAACACGUGGGAAUCUGCCCGGAAGAGGGGGAUAGCCCGCCGAAAGGCGGAUUAAUACCGUAUAUAUUGAAAGUGGGGGACCGCAAGGCCUCACACUUCCGGAUGAGCCCGCGUCCUAUCAGCUAGUUGGUGGGGUAAUGGCCCACCAAGGCUUUGACGGGUAGCUGGUCUGAGAGGACGACCAGCCACACUGGGACUGAGACACGGCCCAGACACCUACGGGUGGCAGCAGUCGAGAAUUUUUCACAAUGGGGGAAACCCUGAUGGAGCGACGCCGCGUGGAGGAUGAAGGGCUUCGGCUCGUAAACUCCUGUCACCACAGACAAAUGAUUCACGGUGAACAUCCGUGAAGCUUGAUGGUAUGUGGAGAGGAAGGGACGGCUAACUCUGUGCCAGCAGCCGCGGUAAUACAGAGGUCCCAAGCGUUGUUCGGAUUUACUGGGCGUAAAGGGUGCGUAGGAGGUCUGGAAAGUCGGGUGUGAAAUCUCACCGCCUAACGGUGAAAUUGCGCUCGAAACUCCCAGACUCGAGGACCGGAGAGGAGAACGGAAUUCCUGGUGUAGCGGUGAAAUGCGUAGAUAUCAGGAGGAACACCAACGGCGAAGGCAGUUCUCUGGAAGGUUCCUGACUCUGAGGCACGAAGGCCAGGGGAGCAAACGGGAUUAGAUACCCCGGUAGUCCUGGCAGUAAACGGUGCUCAUUAGGUGUAGGCGGAUUCGACCCCGUCUGUGCCGCAGCUAACGCGUUAAAUGAGCCGCCUGGGGAGUACGGUCGCAAGAUUAAAACUCAAAGAAAUUGACGGGGGCCCGCACAAGCGGUGGAGUAUGUGGCUUAAUUCGAUGCAACGCGAAGAACCUUACCUGGUCUUGACAUGCA